rnacentral:miRNA from 1 species
GUGUGUGUGUGUGUGUGUGUGUAGUGUGUGUGUGUGUGUGUAGUGUGCAUUAUAUACACACACACACACACACACACACACACUG